rnacentral:rRNA from 1 species
CAAGUCGAACGAAGCAGCAAUGCUUAGUGGCGCACGGGUGCGUAACGCGUAUGCAACCUACCUUUUACUGGGGGAUAACUUCUCGAAAGAGAAGCUAAUACCGCAUAAUAUCACGACAAUUCAUGUUGAUGUGAUUAAAGAUUUAUUGGUAAAAGAUGGGCAUGCGUCCAAUUAGCUAGUUGGUAGUGUAAUGGACUACCAAGGCUACGAUUGGUAGGGGGUCUGAGAGGAUGGUCCCCCACACUGGUACUGAGAUACGGACCAGACUCC